CUGUGCCAUAAACAUCACCAGCUCUGCCAGUUCUUUGCUGGGUUUAUUAGGUUGCAAUCGGAAAAUCUCCACAUUGGAUUUGUAGUGAUUAUACUGCUGUAGAAACUGGAAGUUGGAGGUUGGAAGCGCGCCAUGUCUCCCUAAAGCAAAAUGCGGUAUUUAAAGGUCUACGGAGCAGGUAGAAAAAUCCGAAGGGACAGAGUUCCAAGAGGUGGACCACGCGCCUUAAGGCAUGUCCCUUUCCCGGCCCCUUCUCCCUUCCCGACAGACCCCAGAACCUAACGGUAGCACACGCGGCCAGCCAGGAUCCCCAACUCCACUCCACGCCUCCCCAACCCCACUCGUGUCAACCAGGCGCGCCUUGGCCUCUAGCGUCGCCGCGGCGCAG